ACGGAAAGUGCUGGAGACAGAGCGCAGAGAGGAGGAACUUGCGUCGUGACAAACUGUGCCAAGGGCAAGCUCCCCGAGUUCUAGCAACUACUCCUGACACCAGCCAGCCUGUCCGGGCAUUAACAACAAUGUUUCAUCCGCUCAGUGUGACCACGGCAUCAGCCAGAUGAUUUACAUGACUGCGCCAGGCGGCCCAGUUGGUAGUGGCUGGCGUCUCUAACACAUGGGGGAGCUUGGCUAAUCUUAACAUUAGCCGGUUGCAGAACCUCAUCAACAGCUGCCUGCUACAGAGGAGAGAAAGAGAAAGCAAGCUGCACCCAGAGGGAGAAGGAGAGAGAGAAUCCACAAGCAGACUUCCUGCUGAGUGCAGAGACCAAUGUGGGACUCCAUCCCAGGACCCUGAGAUCAUGACCUGAGCCAAAACCAAGUCAACUUGACUGAGCCGCCCAGAUGCCCCUAAAUUUAUUUUAUUUAAAAAGGUUCAUUACAAAAUUUAGAAUAAGGCGGAGAUUGAAGCACGAAAUGAUUGAAAUCUGGAAAACCAUGUUUUCACGGGAGAAGAGGCUGCCAAAAUGUCCACCUCCUGAAUCAGCAAGGAUCAAGAAGGAACGAUGGAAUCCCUGCAGCCGACAAUUGCACUAGGCUCCUACCCCAAACUCAAGAGUGAAGAUAUCUCUCCAACCCUUGAGCAUGAGCUGAUCUUGUGACUUGCCUUGGCUCAUAGAAUGUGGUGGAAGUGAUGGUGUGCUUGUCUCAAGUCUAGGCCUCAAGAGACAUUGCUGACUUUUGCUCUACCUCUUGGUCCUUGAUCAUGAUGGGAAUAAGUCUAUGCUAGCCUGAUGGGGAAUAAGACAUGGAAAUCAAAGCCAGGUCAAAGCCUCAGACAUGUGAGAGAGCCUGACCCAGCCAAGAUCAGCCGAGCCUCCUAAGCCAACCUACUAUUGAGUGUAGAUGUGUGAAUGAUCCCUCUAAGCCCAGUGAAACCACCCAACUGACCCAGAGACUGGUCAGGAAUUAGAGAUGGCAUGGUGCGAUGGAUUGUCACCGCUCCUGGAGAGCUGGACCUUCAGCUGGGAGGACUUG